AUCUCCUACAACUAAAAAGACCAAAACGUGGACAAACUUUUCGUGCGACAUUCUUCUCUCGCGGUUUCGUCCUGCCCCUGCGACGCGCAUCCCGCCCGGCUCUCUCUUCCGCUCGGAGCCCCGCUCCCAAAUCCGCCUCUCCUCGCCGCCCCCUCCGUCCCUCCCAGAUCCGCGUCGACGCAGAGCCCCCCCUCCCAGAUACUCCUCGGCCCUCCCGUAUCCUGCUCGGAGCCCCGCUCCCAAAUCCUCCUCGGCGCCCCCUCCCAGAUCCUCGUCGACGCUCCCCUCCCAGAUCCUCCUCGGCGCCGCCUCACCAACCCACGUUCGCCCGCAGAAGCCACCGCCGUCACGUCGUCUCUCCCCUCUGCAAUCUCCUCUGCUCGCCCUCACCCUCACAGUGGUACCGCUCGCCCUCGCAUUCGUUGUUAUCGUCUCCAUUGCACACGCUGGUGGUGGCGUCGCACUCGGCCCUCGCCCACACCCUAACCAUAACCACGCUGCUGCGGCGGGCAUCGUGAGCCGUGGCAGGGACGGGGCAAAGCGGCGUUUGAAGUGUCGGACCCAAGAUCUACGCGUCUCAAGUUGAAGUGAUGCGGCGGAUGCAGCGUCUUAGGGCAUCAUCGAUAGGGUGGUGCUAGAGGCAUCGUAUACCCGCCGGCGGCGGCCAACACCCACCAGGUAUUCGUACCCCUUCUCUCCCCUUCCUGUUUUCUGAAACCGAGCACAUGGAUAUUAUUUUUCUACUAUGAAUCGCUAGCUGCAGCUAGCAUCAGUCAAGGCAAUUGCUUGAAGUGUAUAAAAGUGUUUUUUCUGCAGUCGAUUAUAUUGAUGGUCUUAUUUUCUAUAGUUGUAAAUCCUACAAAUUAGCUAGACACAAACUUGUGUAUGAGGAAGUCGCAGAGCCUGUGCUUGAGGCAAGUCUUGCAUUCCAGAUGACACUAAUUAAUUUUGGUGUUUACCUAUGUCUGGUAAGUCUGUAGAAAUUGUGGUGUUGUAUCCGAUCUGUCCAAUUCUAAAAGUAAGAAGAAAGUUGAGGGAUCUUUGCUUCAAUUGCUUAGGGCACAUCAGGGGUUUCAAUGACUGAGUGUUUUUUUUCUGCAGUCCAUUUUGCUGAUGGUCUUUUUUUCUGUAGUUCAAGAGGCUGAACCUGAAGAAAAAUUAUUGGAGGCCUGACCAUACUACCAGAGAGCUGGAACAUCGCCACCAAGGUCCACUACCACGCCGCCAUCGAGGACCAAUGCCACAUCCGCUCAACCAUUGCUGAUACCAGGUGUUCCAACCCCCUUCUUUUUGCUUCCUGCUGUGCAAAAUCGGCCAACCCUAACUUUGUUGUGUAAUUAAUCUUACCUUUGUUGUGUUGUUGGAGAUGAUCGUGAGUCCAACAUAUUAGUUAGCUCAAUGUGUUGUCUGCAUCUGAGAAACAGAGAGAAGCAAUUUACAACGCAUUUGCACAAUCAACGAUUAAUUUCCUUUUUCACUGCACAAUGUGUUGUGACAAUUGUCUCUGUUAUUUGGAGAUACACAUUUCUUGAAAUAGCCAAACAGUGACUAGAGCCUUUCUUACUUAUGGAGAGAGAGGUCAUGCUUAGGGGGGAAGAGCUCAUGAUGCUUAGGAAGUUUGUUCAGUUGCAUUUGUGAAGUAUUUGGCUUACAAUUCUCUUAAAAUAGAAUGAACACUUGUUGGUCAUUUAUUGCUUUUUGCUCUUACUUUCUUUUUUGCUAUUACCUGUCUAUGGUUGAUUGCUUUAUACUCCGACCAUCACCGGCCCACAUCACCGGCCAUCUCUCCCACGCGGAACUCGGGCAGUCGCUGCCAUUGCUGAGGGUGUCGCCGUGAGGGGAAGCUGCGCCAUCACAGAUUGCCAGUGGGGAACAAACAAGACCUAGGAGUGGCGACGACAUCGCGUAAGCCGAGCGGUAGCGGCAACACGCAUUGUUGACGAGCGUUGAAGGCCACGCAUAGGCACCGAGGUUAAAUCUUGUGAUCUCAGAUGAGAACUUCACCUGUAAUUUUUAGUAUCUUAAAGCAUGUUUCUUUUUUUUAUGUUUUCUUGCCAAUACUGUCUGUAUUCUAUCAUUUUGAAGGCAAUAAUUUAAAGAAAUCUUAACUAUGUCCAGUUUUGGCUCAUGUUUUUACUAACACGUGUUCCCAAAUGAUUUUUUUCUUUGCUAGCAUGUGGGUGUUUAUAGUUUAAUUAUUUUUAUACUGUAGAAAAUACAAGAAGUGAGACAUUUGUGUCAUCAUCUCCUGUCUACUCUGUGGCAUAGUCACCCAGAAGCUGUAGGAAACCUUUAACACCUCGCCAAACACAGUAAGAAGGAGCGGUUUGCAGCUCCAUAUGUUUUAUUUGUUAAUAUUUGUGGUCAUGUACCUACUACUGUGGCUGUACAUUGGUUGAUUCCAUUCAUCAUCACAAAAAUAGUUUUCCUCCAAGCAACAUUGAUUGGCACACAAAGAAGCAAAAGCAUGGAUGCAAAGGACAUUACUCUGUCAAGCAGGUGAAGAGAUGAUGUACCAUGUAUGAUUAGUGGAUGGGUAGAUAAAAGAAAUUGGUAUAACUAUGUAAUGGCUGAUAUUUCGAUGAUGUGGCUUGAUGCGAGAGUAUAUUAGGUGAUAUAGAUUAUCAUUAUGAGCUACACUCUUAACAUUGUUUUUUUUGUAAUGAUACAGCAUACGUCAAACUUGAGUUAUAAUGUUAAUUUCAUGAACAUUGCUUUUUA